CUUUAUUAUGAUUUCGGAUUUGAACUUGCUGAGAGGAAGCCUUGGCCCCAGGAUGUUAACUCUCUGCUGCCAAGUGACAGCAUGUGGGUGCCUGCGUGAAGGCUCUGAGAGUUUUCACUAGUCCUCCGUACACCAGCAAAUGCUCUCCGGAUUCUACGGAUGAUGGAUGUCCCAAGGAACUUAUGGUUCCCCCCUUCCCCCUUUUGUCCUUUAUGGAAUUCUGAUCAGAGACUGAGACUCCUUGCGUUGCAGAAUCUCCAAAGUCCCUUCUUCUUCUAAAAUUUGUGGUUGGAACAGAAAAGACACGUUUGGGGUAUAAUCUUGGCUAAGGCCAGUCCCUGGCAGAGGAGCACAGAACUCCUAGAGACAAAGCCAUUGUUCUGACAAUGACUGUGGCUACCCUUCGCCAGCAGCCACGUUGUGCAAGGUGACAUUUUGUAUGAUGUAAG
rnacentral:lncRNA from 1 species